rfam:Anopheles merus strain MAF unplaced genomic scaffold supercont2.133, whole genome shotgun sequence.
AGUAAGUUACGCUGUGCAAUGGGAUGGGAUCCGAAGCCUCUCGAGGGAUAAUACUGGCUCUCCCAUCCAACUCCUAUUGCGACACGUCCUCGUCGUGCAGAGCGGUAACAUGUGCCUCCAUAUAUCCUAGCUUGGGUACACGGGCUAGAUCCAACCGCUUGGGCGGAUGGUGGCACAUGGCGAACCAGGAGGGG